GUUUUAGAACUGACUUUGGCUGGUUUGGAAAAAUAAAUCUGGCAACCCUGCAUGGAGACGUUCUGGUCGCAGUCAGGAUGCCCAUGAACUAUAGUGGGUUGGUGCCUAGGGACUAGGGUUGCCGCCUUUACUCAGUAAACUGUGAGUGGCACCUUACAGUGUUACCUCCUGGCUAGUAACAAUCAUUAGGGUGGUCAGACAUCUUUAUUCAGACAGGGCAGUUUCCAGCAUUAUCCCCUCAGCCCUGCACCACCUCAGGCGGGACUUUGUCUAUUCUCGGGCCUGUCUAUAAUGAGGGUAUAAACACGGGGAACUGAAGGCUGCAAUAACCUCUCAUGUAAUGUAUCAUUUGUUACCUCUCAGGCCGGUAAAACACUAGCCAGGCGGUAACCCUACACAGGCCUGUUACUCGGAGUGAAGGGCUAAGAGCGGCGAAAUCAGGGAGACUCGUGACAAAUCUGGGGGAGUUGAUACGUCUUCUAAUGUUACUAACAGUCUUCAACUCAAAUCAUUCCAAACUAACGUCUAGUUGAUCUAAAGGAAGGCGAAAAAAACCCUCUGAUGUCUAUGAAGAUUCUCAUUCAUCCAGGUCAUGAUAUACAGUAUCUAGUCGAAUGAAGUCUUAAACAAGUGGACUUUUCUGAGUUUUUCUUGAAAACGUUUCACCACUCAUCCGAGCGUCUUUUUCAAUUUGCCUUAGAGAGGGAAAAAAUUCCUUCCUGACUCCAAAACGGCAGUCGGACCAGUCCUUAGAUCAACUUUUGGGAUUUCUAUUCUUUUCUUCCUUUGUGCCUUCUGAUAACGCGUUCCCCCUAUAUACAGUGCUGAAGAGGGAGACGUUUGUUUGGGGGCCCUAAUAAUAGAAGCCUUUCCAAGUAUAGCAGUGUCUUUUUCAUGGAAGCUGAGCCUAACUCUCCAUGUCUUCAGCAGCUUCAGCAGCUUCUUCACUGACUUCAAUAUUACAAAUUUUAUUUUCGUCUUCUUCUUCUUCUUCUUCCUCUUCUUUAAUGCCAGCUUCCUCUUCCGAAUCUUCUUCAUCUUCACCUAGGUGCCCGGUCUUCCAGAAUGCAUACGGUUGUAUGCACAUAAGGGCGGAGAACCCGAACACAACGAAUCCAAUAAAUCCAAGAACUGCAGUAAUAAGAAGGGGUGUAGUGAAUAUUAACAAAUGGGAAUAUGUGACUGCCUAUACUCUAUACACAGAGGGAGGAUAGAGUACUGCAGUUAUAAGAUAAUAAUAAUGAUAAAAUAUAUUUUCCAGAAUGAAACACUUACGAAGGCCGUACAUUCGGGGCAACGGUCUCUCUGAUUCCUCGUCAAUCCCCUUCAAAAGCUCGGAAAAAUCUUUAUAAAGAUGGGAGAGAGAAUACACAGGCCUGUUACUCGGAGUGAAGGGCUAAGAGCGGCGAAAUCAGGGAGACUCGUGACAAAUAUGGGGGAGUUGAUACGUCUUCUGUUGCUACUAACAGAAUGAAACACUUACGAAGGCCGUACAUUCGGGGCAACGGUCUCUCUGAUUCCUCGUCAAUCCCCUUCAAAAGCUCGGAAAAAUCUUUAUAAAGAUGGGAGAGAGAAUACACAGGCCUGUUACUCGGAGUGAAGGGCUAAGAGCGGCGAAAUCAGGGAGACUCGUGACAAAUCUGGGGGAGUUGAUACGUCUUCUAAUGUUACUAACAGUCUUCAACUCAAAUCAUUCCAAACUAACGUCUAGUUGAUCUAAAGGAAGGCGAAAAAAACCCUCUGAUGUCUAUGAAGAUUCUCAUUCAUCCAGGUCAUGAUAUACAGUAUCUAGUCGAAUGAAGUCUUAAACAAGUGGACUUUUCUGAGUUUUUCUUGAAAACGUUUCACCACUCAUCCGAGCGUCUUUUUCAAUUUGCCUUAGAGAGGGAAAAAAUUCCUUCCUGACUCCAAAACGGCAGUCGGACCAGUCCUUAGAUCAACUUUUGGGAUUUCUAUUCUUUUCUUCCUUUGUGCCUUCUGAUAACGCGUUCCCCCUAUAUACAGUGCUGAAGAGGGAGACGUUUGUUUGGGGGCCCUAAUAAUAGAAGCCUUUCCAAGUAUAGCAGUGUCUUUUUCAUGGAAGCUGAGCCUAACUCUCCAUGUCUUCAGCAGCUUCAGCAGCUUCUUCACUGACUUCAAUAUUACAAAUUUUAUUUUCGUCUUCUUCUUCUUCUUCUUCCUCUUCUUUAAUGCCAGCUUCCUCUUCCGAAUCUUCUUCAUCUUCACCUAGGUGCCCGGUCUUCCAGAAUGCAUACGGUUGUAUGCACAUAAGGGCGGAGAACCCGAACACAACGAAUCCAAUAAAUCCAAGAACUGCAGUAAUAAGAAGGGGUGUAGUGAAUAUUAACAAAUGGGAAUAUGUGACUGCCUAUACUCUAUACACAGAGGGAGGAUAGAGUACUGCAGUUAUAAGAUAAUAAUAAUGAUAAAAUAUAUUUUCCAGAAUGAAACACUUACGAAGGCCGUACAUUCGGGGCAACGGUCUCUCUGAUUCCUCGUCAAUCCCCUUCAAAAGCUCGGAAAAAUCUUUAUAAAGAUGGGAGAGAGAAUACGUGAGUACAAAGAGGUGCAAGGAAAGUGAGAGGAGAAGGGGAGAGGCAGCGGGUAAGAAAGUGAUAGGAGGGAUAGUAAGUGGGGAGGGCGGGAAGGGCAAAGGGAAAGGAGAGUAGAACAGUAGGUACAUGGAUAAUGGCACUUACCGACAGUAGUUGUUUUGAAUUUUGGACUCUUUGCUGCAAUGGAAAUAUAAUGAUAUCGUAAAAUUAGUUUUUUCCAAUCAAAAUCUAUUUGCAAAAUCUAUGAAAAGUUCUAAUUUUAUUCACUCAAUUUCCUAGACAUAAAAUAUAAAAUGGACACUUUACUUGUUCUAUCAAAUAUAUUGAGUCCUCUUGAAUGCAUGGCGCGCAAUAUCUCUUCUUUGUCCACAACAACAUAAUCUGUUGAAAGAGAGACAUUAUUGGAAUAGGGAGAUCUAACAUAUAAAUGAAGCAGAGAGAAGAAGAACAGGAGCAAUAAUGUGAGGGGCGUGGGUACUAUAGAGAAUAAAAGUGAUAGGAGGGAUAGUAAGUGGGGAGGGCGGGAAGGGCAAAGGGAAAGGAGAGUAGGACAGUAGGUACAUGGAUAAUGGCACUUACCCACAGUAGUUUCAAUUUUUGGACUCUCCGUUGCUGCAAUGGAAAAAAAAUGAUAUCGUAAAAUUUUCAAUCAAAAUCUACAUGCAAAUGUGUCACACCAAAUCUAUGAAAAGUUCUACAUUUAUACACUCAAUUUCCAUGACAUAAAAUAUAAAAUGGACACUUUACUUGUUCUAUCAAAUCGAUGCAUUUUUCUGGAAUGCAUGGCGCGCAAUAUCUCCUCUUUGUCCACAACAACAUAAUCUGUUGAAAGAGAGACAUUAUUGGAAUAGGGAGAUCUAACAUAUAAAUGGAGAAGAACAGGAGCAAUAAUGUGAGGGGCGUGGGUACUAUAGAGAAUAAAAGUGAUAGGAGGGAUAGUAAGUGGGGAGGGCGGGAAGGGCAAAGGGAAAGGAGAGUAGAACAGUAGGUACAUGGAUAAUGGCACUUACCCACAGUAGUUUCAAUUUUUGGACUCUCCGUUGCUGCAAUGGAAAAAUAAUGAUAUCGUAAAAUUUUCAAUCAAAAUCUACAUGCAAAUGUGUCACACCAAAUCUAUGAAAAGUUCUACAUUUAUACACUCAAUUUCCUUGAUAUAAAAUGGACACUUUACUUGUUCUAUGAAAUCGAUGCAUUUUUCUGGAAUGCAUGGCGCGCAAUAUCUCUUCUUUGUCCACAACAACAUAAUCUGUUGAAAGAGAGACAUUAUUGGAAUAGGGAGAUCUAACAUAUAAAUGGAGAAGAACAGGAGCAAUAAUGUGAGGGGCGUGGGUACUAUAGAG